rnacentral:rRNA from 1 species
GACGAACGCUGGCGGCGUGCUUAACACAUGCAAGUCGAACGGUGAAGGGGCCUGCUUUUGUGGGCCCUGGAUGAGUGGCGAACGGGUGAGUAACACGUGAGUAACCUGCCCCCUUCUUCUGGAUAACCGCAUGAAAGUGUGGCUAAUACGGGAUAUUCUGGGUCUGUCGCAUGAUGGGUCUGGGAAAGAUUGCGCCUUUGGGUGUUUUUGGUGGGGGAUGGGCUCGCGGCCUAUCAGCUUGUUGGUGGGGUGAUGGCCUACGAAGGCGGUGACGGGUAGCCGGCCUGAGAGUGUGGACGGUCACACUGGGACUGAGACACGGCCCAGACUCCUACGGGAGGCAGCAGUGGGGAAUAUUGCACAAUGGGCGCAAGCCUGAUGCAGCGACGCCGCGUGAGGGAUGGAGGCCUUCGGGUUGUAAACCUCUUUCGCCAGUGAAGCAGGCCUGCUCCUUGUGGGUGGGUUGACGGUAGCUGGAUAAGAAGCGCCGGCUAACUACGUG